rnacentral:snRNA from 1 species
GGAUGUGAGGGCGAUCUGGCUGCGACAUCUGUCACCCCAUUGAUCGCCAGGGUUGAUUCGGCUGAUCUGGCUGGCUAGGCGGGUGUCCCCCUCCUCCCUCACCGAUCCAUGUGCGUCCCUCCCGAAGCUGCGCGCUCGGUUGAAGAGGAUGACCUUCCCCCCCGAGGAGAGGACCGGUCUUCGGUCAAGGGUAUACGAGUAGCUGCGCUCCCCUGCUAGAACCUCCAAACAAGCUCUCAAGAACACCAACUCUAGAGUUACACUGCUUGGGUUUGCAGGCUGUCUUUAUGACCUGCUAGCUGGGUGAUUGGGGUAAAUUACUUUCUUU